GACGAACGCUGGCGGCGUGCCUAAAACAUGCAAGUCGAACGGUCGUGCUUCGGUACGGCAGUGGCGGACGGCUGAGUAACACGUGGGUGACCUGCCCUCGAGCGGGGGAUAACUGCCCGAAAGGGUGGCUAAUACCGCAGACAUCGGUGAUUCGGUUCAUCGAUUGAACUUUCGGGGUUCGGGGAGGGGCCCGCGGUCGAUUAGCUAGCUGGUGGGGUAACGGCCUACCAGGGCUACGAUCGAUAGCUGGUCUGAGAGGAUGAUCAGCCAGACUGGGACUGCGAACGGCCCAGACUCCUACGGGAGGCAGCAGUUAGGAAUUUUGGGCAAUGGGCGGAAGCCUGACCCAGCAACGCCGCGUGGGUGAUGAAGGCCCUCGGGUCGUAAAGCCCUUUUCCCAGGGAAGAUGGUGACGGUACCUGGGGAAUCAGCCCCGGCUAACUACGUGCCAGCAGCC
rnacentral:rRNA from 1 species